rnacentral:rRNA from 1 species
GGGGGGGGGCGGGGGGGGGGCGGGCGCGGGGUAGGCGGGCGGCGGUACAGUAAGAGCUUGCUCUUACGGGUGGCGAGUGGCGGACGGGUGGGGAAUACAUCGGACUCGACUUUUGCGUGGGGGAUAACGUAGGGAAAUGGGCGCUAAUACCGCAUACGACCGACGGGUGAAAGCAGGGGAUCUUCUGACCUUGCGCGAUUGAAUGAGGCGAUGUCGGAUUAGCUUGUUGGCGGGGUAUAGGCCCACCACGGCGACGACGCGUAGCUGGUCUGAGAGGAUGAUCAGCCAAACUGAAACUGAGACACGGUAAAGACUCCUACGAGAGGCAGCAGAGGGGAAUAUUGGACAAUGGGCGCAAGCAUGCUCCAGCCAUACCGCGUGGGUGAAGAAGGCCUUCGGGUUGUAAAGCCCUUUUGUUGGGAAAGAAAAGCAGCAGGUUAAUACACCGCUGUUCUGACGGUACCCAAAGAAUAAGCACCGGCUAACUUCGUG